rnacentral:rRNA from 1 species
GCUCCUAGUACGAGAGGACCGGAGUGGACGCAUCACUGGUGUUCGGGUUGUCAUGCCAAUGGCACUGCCCGGUAGCUAAAUGCGGAAGAGAUAAGUGCUGAAAGCAUCUAAGCACGAAACUUGCCCCGAGAUGAGUUCUCCCUGACUCCUUGAGAGUCCUGAAGGAACGUUGAAGACGACGACGUUGAUAGGCCGGGUGUGUAAGCGCAGCGAUGCGUUGAGCUAACCGGUACUAAUGAACCGUGAGG